UUCCUUGUCGGGUAAGUUCCGACCUGCACGAAUGGCAUAAUGAUGGCAGCGCUGUCUCCAGCAGAGACUCAGUGAAAUCGAAAUCGCAGUGAAGAUGCUGUGUACCCGCGGCUAGACGGAAAGACCCCGUGAACCUUUACUACAGCUUUACAUUGAACUUUGACCUAACUUGUGUAGGAUAGGUGGGAGGCUUUGAAGCAGAUACGCCAGUAUUUGUGGAGCCAACCUUGAAAUACCACCCUGGUUAUGUUGGGGUUCUAACUUAGGAUCAACAAAUCCAAGGACAAUGUAUGGUGGGUAGUUUGACUGGGGCGGUCUCCUCCUAAAGAGUAACGGAGGAGUACGAAGGUGCGCUCAGAACGGUCGGAAAUCGUUCAAAGAGUAUAAAGGCAAAAGCGCGCUUAACUGCGAGACCCACAAGUCGAGCAGGUACGAAAGUAGGUCUUAGUGAUCCGGUGGUUCUGUAUGGAAGGGCCAUCGCUCAACGGAUAAAAGGUACUCUGGGGAUAACAGGCUGAUACCGCCCAAGAGUUCAUAUCGACGGCGGUGUUUGGCACCUCGAUGUCGGCUCAUCUCAUCCUGGGGCUGAAGCAGGUCCCAAGGGUAUGGCUGUUCGCCAUUUAAAGAGGUACGCGAGCUGGGUUUAGAACGUCGUGAGACAGUUCGGUCUCUAUCUACCGUGGGCGUUGGAAAUUUGAGAGGAUCUGCUCCUAGUACGAGAGGACCAGAGUGGACGAACCUCUGGUGUUUCGGUUGUCACGCCAGUGGCAUUGCCGAGUAGCUAUGUUCGGAUGGGAUAACCGCUGAAAGCAUCUAAGCGGGAAGCCCACCUCAAGAUAAGAUUUCCCUAAAGAGCCGUUGUAGACGACGACGUUGAUAGGUUGGGUGUGGAAGUGUAGUGAUACAUGUAGCUAACCAAUACUAAUUGCUCGUUUGGCUUGACCAUACAACACCCAAGUGGUUUACCACUGACUGUGUUGAUUGGUAAUAUGUAAGAUGAACCUUAAUCUUGAUUUGGUAAUAAACAGACUCAUACAGCGUUGUUAAUCCUUUUACGCUGACGACAAUAGCAAGAUGGAACCACCUGAUCCCUUCCCGAACUCAG
rnacentral:rRNA from 1 species